AUUGAACGCUGGCGGCAUGCCUUACACAUGCAAGUCGAACGGUAACAGGUCUUCGGACGCUGACGAGUGGCGAACGGGUGAGUAAUACAUCGGAACGUGCCUAGUAGUAGGGGAUAACUACUCGAAAGAGUGGCUAAUACCGCAUGAGAUCUACGGAUGAAAGCAGGGGAUCGCAAGACCUUGUGCUACUAGAGCGGCCGAUGGCAGAUUAGGUAGUUGGUGGGAUAAAAGCUUACCAAGCCGACGAUCUGUAGCUGGUCUGAGAGGACGAUCAGCCACACUGGGACUGAGACACGGCCCAGACUCCUACGGGAGGCAGCAGUGGGGAAUUUUGGACAAUGGGCGCAAGCCUGAUCCAGCAAUGCCGCGUGCAGGAUGAAGGCCUUCGGGUUGUAAACUGCUUUUGUACGGAACGAAAAGCCCCGGGUUAAUACCCUGGGGUCAUGACGGUACCGUAAGAAUAAGCACCGGCUAACUACGUGCCAGCAGCCGCCGUAA
rnacentral:rRNA from 1 species